rnacentral:tRNA from 1 species
GUCCUUGUAGCUCAGCUGGACAGAGCAACUCUUUUGCGAAGAGUUAGGUCAGGGGUUCGAAUCCCCUCUUGGAAU